GGGAUGACAUUGAAGAUGAAAUGGAUACAGCAAUUGCUGAAUGACAGUUUGCCCAAAUUAGUGCAGUUAAAAUAUGCUGACGCCCCUGCAUGGCCAGGAAGACUUCUGCUCCAUGCACACAAGCACCAAGUAUCAAGCUACCACCAACAUGUUCCCAUUCCUUUAGGCCUCCAUAGCUUUGCUUUUGCUUUCUGUUUCCUGAACUAAAAAAAAAAAAAAAAAGUGUAGAUUGCCAGCCUUCCCUUUUUCCUGCACGCUAAUGGCAUGUAGUGCCUCCACCCUUCCCUAUAGUGAGAUUAAUGACCUGCUCUGUAACUCACAUUGUGUCCUUCUCUCUCCCUUUCCUUAACCCUUCCCAUCCCGCUUCAACUCCUGGCCAUACAGAGAAUGAACAGCCUUCCCUCGUUUGGUUUGACAGAGGAAAGUUUUAUUUGACUUUUGAAGCAGGGAUGAUAAGCAGUGUUUUCUCUGCUGGUAUGGAGCAAGAAAAUGAUUUGGAAGCAUCAUGCCACUGUGUUGCUGUACACCCUUUGCCUCUACCAGAGCCCAUUAUUAAAGCUGACUUGUUGAGACUAAUGGUCUGCCUGCCAGUGUACUCCUGGGGGUUCUGUGUUAACACUGAUGGGAGAUGUGGCAGAAAAUCUUUUAUCCUCUCUUUUAUUAAAGGAUUUGUAAAUCAUA
rnacentral:sRNA from 1 species